AGUUUAGGGAUCUCUUAAAACAAACUCUUUUUUAUCUGUAACUCAGAAAUGGAAAAACCGGAACCCACGGGCAUGGAUGCAACCUUUGACCAUGGGGAUACAAAAUCUGAAUGGCCGAAUUCUGCUUCUCGUGUUGAUGAUCCAUGGUUGGCAACUUUUUGUGAAGCUGUGGAAAAGGAAAAUUCAAACCACUUGCUUACCGAGGGGCUUGCUAACAGCACAGAAACCGACCUAUGCUGGUAAAAUAUGCAGCAAUAGCUCGUGGCGAUGCUGAAGCUUACAUAAACUUUGCAAGAUCUGGGUACAAAGAGAAGAUCGAGUCCAUUUAAUAAUAGUAUAAUAUUCACGAGUAUUUAGAAAAAGAUUAUAUGUGAAAUUUAAAUUUUAAAAUAAUUAAAAUGAAAAAUUAAUAUAUUUUAAAAAUAUGACAUUCUAUUAUCAUUUUAUUUA